rnacentral:rRNA from 1 species
AACGAACGCUGGCGGCAGGCCUAACACAUGCAAGUCGAGCGGACCCUUCGGGGUUAGCGGCGGACGGGUGAGUAACGCGUGGGAACGUGCCCUUUGCUUCGGAAUAGCCCUGGGAAACUGGGAGUAAUACCGGAUACGCCCUUUUGGGGAAAGAUUUAUCGGCGAAGGAUCGGCCCGCGUUGGAUUAGGUGGUUGGUGGGGUAAUGGCCUACCAAGCCGACGAUCCAUAGCUGGUUUGAGAGGAUGAUCAGCCACACUGGGACUGAGACACGGCCCAGACUCCUACGGGAGGCAGCAGUGGGGAAUCUUAGACAAUGGGGGAAACCCUGAUCUAGCCAUGCCGCGUGAGCGAUGAAGGCCUUAGGGUUGUAAAGCUCUUUCACCGGGGAAGAUAAUGACGGUACCCGGAGAAGAAGCCCCGGCUAACUCCGUG